rnacentral:rRNA from 1 species
AUUGAACGCUGGCGGCAGGCCUAACACAUGCAAGUCGAACGAGUGGCGGACGGGUGAGUAAUGUCUGGGAAACUGCCUGAUGGAGGGGGAUAACUACUGGAAACGGUAGCUAAUACCGCAUACCAUCAGAUGUGCCCAGAUGGGAUUAGCUUGUUGGUGGGGUAACGGCUCGCCAAGGCGACGAGCCCUAGCUGGUCUGAGAGGAUGACCAGCCAAACUGGAACGGAGACACGGUCCAGACUCCUACGGGAGGCAGCAGUGGAGAAUAUUGCACUAUGGGCGCAAGCCUGAUGCAGCCAGGCCGCGUGUAUAAAGAAGGCCUUCGGGUUGUAAAGUACUUUCAGCGGGGAGGCUUUACCCGCAGAAGAAGCACCGGCUAACUCCGUGCCAGCAGCCGCGUUAAUUC